GAUGAAGAACGCAGCGAAAUGCGAUAAGUAAUGUGAAUUGCAGAAUUCAGUGAAUCAUCGAAUCUUUGAACGCACAUUGCGCCCGCUAGUAUUCUGGCGGGCAUGCCUGUCCGAGCGUCAUUACACCACUCAAGCUAUGCUUGGUAUUGGGCGUCGUCCUUAGUUGGGCGCGCCUUAAAGACCUCGGCGAGGCCACUCCGGCUUUAGGCGUAGUAGAAUUUAUUCGAACGUCUGUCAAAGGAGAGGAACUCUGCCGACUGAAACCUUUAUUUUUCUAGGUUGACCUCGGAUCAGGUAGGGAUACCCGCUGAACUUAAGCAUAUCAAUAAGCGGAGGA
rnacentral:misc_RNA from 1 species